rnacentral:snoRNA from 1 species
CUACAAUGAUGGUAGUAUUUUUGGUCAACAGCAGUCCACCUAGUGAGUGUUGAUACUUUGGGUCUGAGUGA